CACGUAGGGUGCGAGCGUUGUCCGGAAUUAUUGGGCGUAAAGAGCUCGUAGGCGGUGUGUCGCGUCGGCCGUGAAAACCCGCAGCUCAACUGUGGGCUUGCAGCUGAUACGGGCAGGCUUGAGUUCGGUAGGGGAGACUGGAAUUCCUGGUGUAGCGGUGAAAUGCGCAGAUAUCAGGAGGAACACCGGUGGCGAAGGCGGGUCUCUGGGCCGAUACUGACGCUGAGGAGCGAAAGCGUGGGGAGCGAACAGG
rnacentral:rRNA from 1 species